CCUACGGGAGGCAGCAGUAGGGAAUAUUGCUCAAUGGGGGAAACCCUGAAGCAGCAACGCCGCGUGGAGGAUGAAGGUUUUCGGAUUGUAAACUCCUUUUGUUAGAGAAGAUAAUGACGGUAUCUAACGAAUAAGCACUGGCUAACUCCGUGCCAGCAGCCGCGGUAAUACGGAGGGUGCAAGCGUUACUCGGAAUCACUGGGCGUAAAGAGCGCGUAGGCGGGAUAGCAAGUCAGAUGUGAAAUCCUAUGGCUUAACCAUAGAACUGCAUUUGAAACUGUUAUUCUAGAGUAUGGGAGAGGUAGGUGGAAUUCUUGGUGUAGGGGUAAAAUCCGUAGAGAUCAAGAGGAAUACU
rnacentral:rRNA from 1 species